rnacentral:tRNA from 1 species
AGCUCAGUUGGUAGAGCAGUUGACUUUUAAUCAAUUGGUCGCAGGUUCGAAUCNAAUUCUUAAAUCAGUAAUAUAUGCCGCCGUUGCCA